CGCAAUGGGCGAAAGCCUGACGGAGCGACGCCGCGUGAUGGAUGAAGACCCUCUGGGUCGUAAAAAUCUUUUAUGAUCAGGAAAGUUUAUUGAUCCGAUCAUGAAUAAGGGGCUCCAAACUCUGUGCCAGCAGGAGCGGUAAUACAGAGGCCCCAAGCGUUGUCCGGAAUCACUGGGCGUAAAGGGUGUGUAGGUGGUUGCAUUAGUCUCUCGUUAAAGCCCGCGGCCUAACCGCGGAUCUGCGAGAGAAACGGCGCAACUCGAGGAUGCGAGGGGUCUGUGGAACUCAUGGAGUAGGGGUGAAAUCCGUUGAUAUCAUGGGGAACACCAAAAGCGAAGGCAGCAGACUGGAGCAUUCCUGACACUGAAACACGAAAGCGU
rnacentral:rRNA from 1 species